rnacentral:ncRNA from 1 species
GGAAGUAAAAGUCGUAACAAGGUUUCUCUCGAACAAGUCCUUCCGUGGGCAACACUUGCCGAAGCCUUAGCAGCCCGAAAGGGUGUCCCUCGACGACUGUAAACAAUCAGAGGGUCUUAAAUGCUAGUCUAUCCGUCCUCUCGGGUAGGCAACACUGUCAAAUUGCGGGGAACCCCUAAAGACCUUGACACCAAGCGCCUUCCAGAAAUGGAGGCGUGGCCGAGCUAAUUGCCCUGGGUAUGGUAACAGUUCAAGGUAUGAGCCCGAGCGAUCGGGUGAAAUGGGCGAUCUGCAGCCAAGUCCUAAGGCUCCCCCCAUCUCCAAGGAGAUGAGGUGGUAGCUAUGGAUGCUGUUCACAGGCCAAAUGGCAGUGGGUGUGGUCAUCGCCUCGCUUAAGAUAUGGUCGGUCCCCAAGCGAGAGCUUGGGGGUGAGUUGCCCCCAACAAGUAACAAUAUAAAUGUUCCGUAGGUGAACCUGCGGAAGGAUCAUUA